CCUACGGGAGGCAGCAGUGGGGAAUAUUGCACAAUGGGGGAAACCCUGAUGCAGCGACGCCGCGUGGAGGAAGAAGGUUUUCGGAUUGUAAACUCCUUUUAUUAGAGACGAUAAUGACGGUAUCUGAAGAAUAAGCUCCGGCUAACUACGUGCCAGCAGCCGCGGUAAUACGUAGGGAGCGAGCGUUGUCCGGAAUUACUGGGUGUAAAGGGAGCGUAGGCGGGUAGUCAAGUCAGAUGUGAAAACUGAGGGCUCAACCUUAAGACUGCAUUUGAUACUGGUAUUCUUGAGUGCAGUAGAGGUAGGUGGAAUUCGUGGUGUAGCGGUGAAAUGCGUAGAGAUUAGGAGGAACAUCGAUGGCGAAGGCGGCUUACUAGGCUUUUACUGACGCUGAGGCUCGAAAGCGUGGGGAGCAAACAGGAUUAGAUACCCGUGUAGUC
rnacentral:rRNA from 1 species